UGGCAUGUUUUGACCUUUGGACUUUGCUGCUCCUCUCUUUCUAGAGAGUGGGCAUGAACAAACAUGCUAGAAAAAUGUAUUACUUAAGGAGUUAACAGGGCCACCAGUCUUUCAAGCUCAGGCUGAGUUGGUAGUAUAAUACUCCUACAUUU